GCUUGGAUCUUGAUUGAUAAGGGAAUCUCUGCGAAUUUAAGCCAUGAUCCCGUUCCUGUUCCUCCUUCCCACUCUUGUAUAGCUGAGGACCAGCAGCUUUCUUCCGGUCUCGGUGAAAAUCUACGAGGGAGUUUGUGCCGAUGCCUCGUUCCGACAUUGUAAGAUUGUGAAUCCUGCGUCUACAUGAUCCGUUCUUGCGGUCAAAACCGCGUAAAAGACGCCGCGAGUACCUGUUUGACCGUUCAAGCCGGGAGAGUGGCACAAGAUACUCCAACCGAUGAGGAAACCAAGAAGGGCGCUGUUCCGGGUGAGGUUGCCACCACGAAAGAGGUUUCGGCUGCCGCCGCUGCAAGUCAAAUUUGUCGAAGAAGCUCAAGGUUCUGGCUGCCAGCAUCAAUGGCAAACCAUCUAAAGCAGCUGCAAAUGCAAAAAUGUAAUAUUUUGAUCCAGGAUUUGAUUGGCACGAUGAAAUGUAAACAAACCAUCCCUUUGAUUGCUGUUGGUGCCGUUGGUACAGAUUCCAUCGGUCCUCUCUCAGAAGCUCUUAAUUCUUUCAAUUAACAUUGACAGCAAUCGAUCCGCAAGGUUUGUUUACAUCCUUCCGGACCGAUUGUAUCCGAACUGAAAAACUUGUUUUGGCGUGAGGAAAGCCGGUUAAAAUUGAAAUUUGCGAUCCAAACCUGGGUGAAAUAAAAUUGCUGUGCGGAACCUUCCCUUUCCUGUCCGGAGCCAUCUACUGUUGCCCAGCAGUCUCGCGAAAUAAACAGCUGCUUG